CAAGAUACAGGCUAGCGGCGGACGGGUGAGUAACACGUGGGUAAACCUGCCCAAGAGAUCGGGGAUAACACCUGGGAAACAGAUGCUAAUACCCGGAUAACAACAGAUGAUGCCUAUCAACUGUUUAAAGAUGGUUCUGCUAUCACUCUUGGGAUGGACCUGCGGUGCAUUAGCUAGUUGGUAGGGGUAACGGGCCUACCCAAGGCGAUGAUGCAUAGCCCGAGUUGAGAGACUGAUCGGGCCACAUUGGGACUGAGACACGGCCAAAAACUCCUACGGGGAGGCAGCAGUAGGGAAUCUUCCACAAUGGACGCAAGUCUGAUGGAACAAACGCCGCGUGAGUGAAGAAGGGUUUCGGCUCGUAAAAGCUCUGUUGUUGGUGAAGAAGGACAGGGGUAGUAACUGACCUUUGUUUGACGGUAAUCAAUUAGAAAGUCACGGCUAACUACGUGCCAGCAGCCGCGGUAAU
rnacentral:rRNA from 1 species